CUUGCCGGCCAUAGGGCGUGGGCUCCACCUGAUCCCAUACCGAACUCAGAAGUUAAACCACGUUCCGUUUUCGGUUGUAGUGUGGUCUUCGGCCAUGCGAACCCGAGAAAGCUGGUGACC
rnacentral:rRNA from 1 species